rnacentral:tRNA from 1 species
GUUUGUGGUUCAGCGGUAGAGCACUCGCCUCGCACGUGAAAGGCCCUGGGUUGGAUUCUCAGCACCACA